AGAGUUUGAUCAUGGCUCAGAUUGAACGCUGGCGGAAUGCUUUACACAUGCAAGUCGAACGGCAGCAUAGAGAGCUUGCUCUCUGAUGGCGAGUGGCGAACGGGUGAGUAAUAUAUCGGAACGUGCCUAGUAAUGGGGAAUAACUAGCUGAAAGGUUAGCUAAUGCCGCAUACGACCUACGGGUGAAAGCAGGGGAUCUUCGGACCUUGCGUUAUUAGAGCGGCCGAUAUCUGAUUAGCUUGUUGGUGGGGUAAUGGCCUACCAAGGCGACGAUCAGUAGCUGGUCUGAGAGGACGAUCAGCCACACUGGAACUGAGACACGGUCCAGACUCCUACGGGAGGCAGCAGUGGGGAAUUUUGGACAAUGGGGGAAACCCUGAUCCAGCCAUUCCGCGUGAGUGAAGAAGGCCUUCGGGUUGUAAAGCUCUUUCGCAAGAGAAGAAAACUUGCUAUCUAAUAAAUAGUAAGCAUGACGGUAUCUUGACAAGAAGCACCGGCUAACUACGUGCCAGCAGCCGCGGUAAUACGUAGGGUGCAAGCGUUAAUCGGAAUUACUGGGCGUAAAGCGUGCGCAGGCGGUUAUAUAAGACAGAUGUGAAAUCCCCGGGCUCAACCUGGGAACUGCAUUUGUGACUGUAUAGCUAGAGUACGGUAGAGGGGGAUGGAAUUCCGCGUGUAGCAGUGAAAUGCGUAGAUAUGCGGAGGAACACCGAUGGCGAAGGCAAUCCCCUGGACCUGUACUGACGCUCAUGCACGAAAGCGUGGGGAGCAAACAGGAUUAGAUACCCUGGUAGUCCAUGUACGUGAA
rnacentral:rRNA from 1 species